UAAAGAUGCAAAGCGAAGUGCUCCAGUGA
rnacentral:piRNA from 1 species